GGGCUAUUAGCUCAGUUGGUUAGAGCGCACCCCUGAUAAGGGUGAGGUUCCCAGGUUCAAAUCCUGGAUAGCCCA
rnacentral:tRNA from 1 species